GCCUACGGGGGGCAGUAGUAGGGAAUUUUCGUCAAUGGGCGCAAGCCUGAACGAGCAAUGCCGCGUGAACGAGGAGGGUCUUCGGAUCGGAAAGUUCUGUUGAAGGGGAAAAAGAGCGGAGAGAGGAAAUAGUCUCCGAUUGAUAUUACCCUUCGAGGAAGUCACGGCUAACUACGUGCCAGCAGCCGCGGUAAUACGUAGGUGGCGAGCGUUAUCCGGAAUGAUUGGGCGUAAAGGGUGCGUAGGCGGCCUGCUAAGUCUGGAGUGAAAGGUACCGGCUCAACCGGUACAGGCUCUGGAAACUG
rnacentral:rRNA from 1 species